rnacentral:snoRNA from 2 species
CCCCUCUCAGGGUCACACCUGGAGAGUUCCCAGUACUCUGCCAGUCUUGACUGCAAGAGGGAGAGUCAGGCAGAAGCAUACCCGUUCCAUUCCUAGCUUGGGCAAUGUCUAGUGAGUAGAAGGCAAUCUGCUACAAGU